rnacentral:rRNA from 1 species
UCUACGGGCGGCUGCAGUGAGGAAUAUUGGUCAAUGGGCGCGAGCCUGAACCAGCCAAGUCGCGUGAGGGAAGACGGUCCUAUGGAUUGUAAACCUCUUUUGUCGGGGAGCAAAAGACGCCACGCGUGGCGUUCCGAGAGUACCCGAAGAAAAAGCAUCGGCUAACUCCGUGCCAGCAGCCGCGGUAAUACGUAGGAGGCAAGCGUUAUCCGGAAUGACUGGGCGUAAAGGGUGCGUAGGUGGUUUGACAAGUUGGUAGCGUAACUCCGGAGCUCAACUUCGGAACUACUACCAAAACUGUUGGACUCGAGUGCAGGAGGGGCAACUGGAAUUUCUAGUGUAGCGGUGGAAUGCGUAGAUAUUAGGAAGAACACCGGUGGCGAAGGCGAGUUGCUGGACUGUAACUGACACUGAGGCACGAAAGCGUGGGGAGCAAACAGGAUUAGAUACCCCUGUAGUC